CGGUUCCCCGCUCAUUCCCCGUUCGACUUCCGCCGAGUGAGGAUCUCUUGCGCCGACCUUCGAAAUACGAUUUCUUGUGUGACAUGUUAGCGAUAUGUGCCCGCAAUAAGUAACGCGCGAAAAUUAUUUUUUUUUGCUUUUGUGCAACGACCCGAUCUUGCGCGAGCGACUGUGACGGACCAGACCGCAUCCCCCGCCUCCAGUGGAAUUGGCGCUUCCCGAGAGACCCAUCGGCUCCUGUGAAAAUAUGGAAGCCACAUAUUGCAUCGGAUCCGACAUGGACGUCUGCAGAAUGUUCGACCAGUAUCUGUACAAGAGGAGCGAGAACAUCGACGUGUCGCUCUCAGUGCCCAACCAUCUACAAAACGGCUUCUCCAACAUGACCGAGCAGAAUUUUCACACGCCGAGUUUCGGCGACGAGGACUUUGAUAUACCGCCUAUCAACCCUCAUCACAAUUCUGGCCCACAGCACAUGCCCUAUCAUCCGCCCCCGAUAUCAAUGCCGCCGAUGAGUCAAACGACGAUGACCAUGAGUGAUCAAAGCACGGCGUAUCACCAACCGCUCUACCUCUCACCUCCGCAGGAGCACAACAUGGGAAUGGGCAUGAACAACUACAACCAGCAAAACGGGUACAGGAUGCCGCAGAAUUCGCUCGCCCAGUUGCAGCAGUACAGCAUGGGCCCACCGCAGGGGACGAUGCGCUCCCCGCAAGGACGGCAGGCCCAGUCGCCCCAGGGGACGAUGCCCCACGAGACGACGACUACGAGCGACGACAGCGACGAUUCGACGCCUCAUUCGCAUCUCGUUGCCGGAAUGAAACGGCCUUCCCCGGAACCGGCGGAGAACAGUUUAGCCAAAAUUCAGAAAAAGCCCAAAACUCAAAAGAAAAAGAAGAAAAGAGACCCUAACGAACCACAAAAGCCGGUUUCAGCCUACGCGCUUUUCUUCAGGGAUACUCAAGCGGCCAUAAAAGGACAAAAUCCGAACGCCAGCUUUGGAGAAGUAUCCAAAAUCGUCGCAUCCAUGUGGGACGCAUUGGACGCCGAACACAAAAACGUUUACAAGAAGAAGACCGAAGCUGCCAAGAAGGACUAUUUGAAGGCGCUUGCUGCUUACAGGGCUAGUCUAGUUUCGAAGGGAGGCGGAGAGCAGGAGCCGAUUUACGGCGGAUACGGCGGUUACGGCGGAGGCGGUGGAGGUGGAGGCGGUGGCGGAGCGUACAACGGCUAUUCGCCCCCGACCGGCUUGCCGUCCCCUCCGAUAUCCGCUCCGUCCCCCCAGGGCCACAUCAAAAAACCCCACAUGAUGCCAGACAACAGACAACCUCAACCGACAAUGCAACAGGUCAUGAUGGGCCACAUGGGACAACAGCAGCAACAACAACAACAACACUUGCAGCAACAGCCGCCGCAACAACAACAACAACAGCAGCAGCAGCAGCCGCCGCCCAAUCCCCAGCAAGUCAAUCAGAACUCAAACUAUAUGCAACAACAACAGUGGUCGUGGUGUUACAGGCUGGUGGGAGCGGGCCCUCCGGGGAGCAGCCAAUGAGCGACCAACUGACAGCUCAGACUCCCAACAACCACUGCAUCAGGAGCGGCUGCCCAAACCCAGCAGUAGCCAACUCGGAGUGGGAGGACGAGUAUUGUAGUAAUGAAUGUGUUGUUACUCAUUGCAAGGACGUCUUUAGUUCCUGGGUCGCAUCUAACCAGAAUUCGGCUGUGAAAUAGACAUUUCAGUGGAUUAACUAGUGGCCACGUGUAAAUACAAUAUACCGUAUUAAAGGGCUUUAAUUGCCUUCAGUGUACAAUUAUGAUAUAUAUAAAUAUUAAUUAUUAUAAAUAAAAAUGUUAUAAUAGAAAAAAAAAUGGAUUGGGUAGUUUUCUACCGCACAUAUCAUCUUGCUUAUGGUGAAGUAUAAAAAAUAAGUAUAUUUGUUUCUUUACUAAUUAAUAAUAUAUUCUUUUUUAUAUAUUGUUUCAAUCAGGCAUAAUUAUUUUUGUAAAUAAAUUAUAGAACAAUAAUUAAAUGUAGUAUUAAUUAUAACUUCGCCAUAAUCAAAGUUAUAUGUUACCCAGAUUUAAAAGGGCAAAAUGCAUAAGGUAAUGCCCUAAAAUGCAUGUUGGACCUGUAUUCAAAUAAAUACUUAAAACUAAUAUUGUAGCUAGGGAUUAGUUGUUAGACAUCUUUACUAUCAACAGGCAGUGUAAACCUAUUUAUAUAAGCAUUUAGUAUGUGAAUUAACACAUAAUAAUAUAUGCUCAUGAUGUCGAUUUUAAUUUAAGUUUAUGUAAUAUAAAUGAUUUGUAUUAGACAUAUAUCAAGAAUAUUUUAUUACUGGUCAAGUGCAGUAUUUGAAAUGUUGAUAUUGUUGUUGUUUAUAGCUUUUAGAUUA